CAAGGAGGAAGAGAGGGCAGUGGAUACGGGGAUACGGGAGAAGACACUGAGCAUCGUCAUGUCACCCCUUCCUGUGACCGAACCGUCCCCCAACCUUCAGCAAAGCUUCUCUACUAACAGCAUGCAUUCUGAAAAAGUUUGCUGAAUCCCAAUUUAUACAUUGGAAUGAAGAACACUGGAAUGGAAAAUAUUUUCUAGGAAGGAUACACAAGAAACUGCUUAUGGUGGAGUUGGAUUAGAAGAGGCAAGGAUAUC